CAGUAGACUCUAUUUUUCUUGGCCAUGAAUGUGUUUCUGCCCUUUCCCUAGGGGGAAGAGGGGAAGAUAAUUCAUAUGGAGCAUCACACCAGCUAUCUCCUGCUCCCUGUCCUGCACUGCAAAGGAGGCCUUUUCAUCCUCUCUACUGCCUCCAAUUUUUCUCACGAGGAAUGUGAGAGGAAAACCUAGAGCUUGUUCCUGAAGCAUGGUGCUAAGUCCAUAUGCAGCAGAUGGAGCUCAUGAGAAAAGAGUUGCUCUUGUGAAGACCAAAGCUUGAAAUGGUCAAUUACAAAGCACAACAUAAGACUGGAACAUUGGAGUUAAGUAGCAGAGAUCAAAAGAGGAGAUUGCAGAUGGAGGUGUUGUAUGUGACUGUUUUACAUGGAUUCUUCGCUCUGGUAGCAGAUGUUGAAGAAGCUCUAUGAAUGUCCUGUCUCUAUGUCCCAGUUUGUCAGUUUCAAAUACUCAUGUAUCUGAUUGUCAAUGCUGGAGAGCUGGGGCCAGGGCAGUAGUUGAUGAAUAUCACCUGACUGUCUCCUGCAGAAAAAGCAUUCCCAGAAGCACGGAGAAGUGAGGAGAAAAGGCAAUGCACCUGGAGCUGGAGACCAAGGCCCUGUUCUUACUGAUGGCCCUUGGAGCAGAUAUUUGAAUUGGAGAGAUAAAACCGUGGUUUUUGGGGUGUUAAUUUUGGUGGCUGAUGCAUUCUGUGAUUGAUUUGGCUAUUACAACUGGUAUUGAUUUUAAACACAUUAAUUGCAAAAUCUCAAUUGUGAUUUGAUUUCUGUAUUUACAAUACUAAAAACGAGGCUUUCGCCAGGAGAAGACAAUUGGCAGUACUCAGUUGGAAGUGCUUAAUUGUUAAUAUAUAUCAGCCGUGGUUCUUCAGCGUCGUCAGUGUUGCUCAGUCUUGCUCUUUGUGGCGACUACUGAAUGCUUGAAAAAUUCUCUCCUAUACUCCCACUCUGCACUGUAGAAGAGAAAGAGAGGAGAGUGGAAGAAAAAAGAGAGGGAGAGGAGAAAGAAAGAGAGGAGAGAGAAACAUGGGCAUGGAUGAUACAUAAGGUAGUUGUAAACUGUGAUCAGCUUUGAUAAUAACUAGAUAAAUUCUUUUAAUACAAAAAUAUAUAAGGCAUUUUGCCUUUUUUUCAAAUUUCAAAUAAAUGGAUUUGUAUAGAAUGUAGUCUGUUGCCCAGAGUUUUCAUUUAGCAUAAUGCAUUUGAGAUUUAUCCAUGUUGUUGUAUAUUCUUUUUAUUGCUGAGUAGUAUUCCAUUGUGUGGAUAUACCAGUUUGUUUAUCCAUUAACCUUUGAUGGAUAUUUGGGUUUUUUUCAAUAUGAGGCUCUUAUAAAUAAACCUUCUGUAAUCAGGUCUUUGUGUAGUCACACAGUUUGUUUGUUUGUUUGUUUUUUAAAAAGAUGUUAGUAUUGUAAUUGUGUUUAAUAAGAAACUGUUCAGUAUUUCUGCAUGUCUACCAAAAAUACAUGAAAUGUUAGUUGCUUCUUUUAAAAUACUUGGUAUGUUUUUGCUUUUUUAUUUUAGCAACUUAAUAUGUGUGUAUUAUAACCUCAUUGUGGUUUUAAAUUACAUUUUCCUCAGUAACUAAUAAUGCUGAGCAUCUUUUAAUGUAUUUAAUGGUCAUUCAUAUAUCUCCUCAUGAAAUGUCUGUUAAAAUUGUAUGCUCAUUUAGAAAAAUCAGGAUGAUUGUCUUGUUGAGCUUUGAAAGCUCUUUGCAUAUUAUGAAUACAAGUUCUUUAUUAGACAUA
rnacentral:lncRNA from 1 species